rnacentral:rRNA from 1 species
UACGGGGGGGGCAAGCGUUGUUCGGAAUUACUGGGCGUAAAGGGCUCGUAGGUGGCCAACUAAGUCGGACGUGAAAUCCCUCGGCUUAACCGGGGAACUGCGUCUGAUACUGGAUGGCUUGAGUUCGGGAGAGGGAUGCGGAAUUCCGGGUGUAGCGGUGAAAUGCGUAGAUAUCCGGAGGAACACCAGUGGCGAAGGCGGCUUCCUGGACCGACACUGACGCUGAGGCGCGAAAGCUAGGGGAGCAAACGGG